rnacentral:rRNA from 1 species
AGUGAACGCUGGCGGUAGGCCUAACACAUGCAAGUCGAACGGCAGCACAGUAAGAGCUUGCUCUUACGGGUGGCGAGUGGCGGACGGGUGAGGAAUACAUCGGAAUCUACUUUUUCGUGGGGGAUAACGUAGGGAAACUUACGCUAAUACCGCAUACGACCUACGGGUGAAAGCAGGGGAUCUUCGUACCUUGCGCGAUUGAAUGAGCCGAUGUCGGAUUAGCUAGUUGGCGGGGUAAAGGCCCACCAAGGCGACGAUCCGUAGCUGGUCUGAGAGGAUGAUCAGCCACACUGGAACUGGGACACGGUCCAGACUCCUACGGGAGGCAGCAGUGGGGAAUAUUGGACAAUGGGCGCAAGCCUGAUCCAGCCAUAGCGCGUGGGUGAAGAAGGCCUUCGGGUUGUAAAGCCCUUUUGUUGGGGAAGAAAAGCAGCAGGUUAAUACCCCGCUGUUCUGACGGUACCCAAAGAAUAAGCACCGGCUAACUUCGUG